rfam:Haemonchus placei strain MHpl1 genome assembly, scaffold: HPLM_scaffold0000247
GACAGUCAUUGUUUCAGGUGCCAAAAACUUAUUUGGGUAUGUUGGUUGGUUCAAUUUGCGCUCUCAUGGGCGUAUUGACAAUUGCUUUACCAGUACCUGUUAUUGUAUCGAAU